rnacentral:lncRNA from 1 species
UGCCUUCCCAGACCUUCCACCUUAGGUUCUGCUGCAAAAAGCACCAGAAACUACCCGUGUGUAAAAAGAAGAUUGGCUUAAAAUGGCUACUGUGAUGGGAACAGUGUCUUAGGGAGAUGCAGCUUGGACUUGAGGUAAAUUGAAUACUUUACAACUGUGGUUUAGAGUUUGCUUUAAUGACAUUGUAUGUAAAAGGUCACAUGAUUGCUGUAAUUUUGUAUUCAUUAUGGUUUCCUCAAUAAAUGUACAUUGAUGACUAUUA